AGAGUUUGAUCCUGGCUCAGAAUGAACGCUGGCGGCAGGCCUAACACAUGCAAGUCGAACGGAAUUAUAUUGUAGCUUGCUACGGUAUAAUUUAGUGGCAGACGGGUGAGUAAUGUAUAGGAAUCUACCUAGUAGUACGGAAUAAUUGUUGGAAACGGCAACUAAUACCGUAUACGCCCCACGGGGGAAAAAUUUAUUGCUAUUAGAUGAGCCUAUAUUAGAUUAGCUUGUUGGUAGGGUAAUAGCUUACCAAGGCAAUGAUCUAUAGCUGAUCUGAGAGGAUGAUCAGCCACACUGGAACUGAGAUACGGUCCAGACUCCUACGGGAGGCAGCAGUGGGGAAUAUUGGACAAUGGGCGAAAGCCUGAUCCAGCUAUGCCGCAUGAGUGAAGAAGGCCUUUGGGUUGUAAAGCUCUUUUAGUGAGGAAGAUAAUGACGGUACUCACAGAAGAAGUCCUGGCUAACUCCGUGCCAGCAGCCGCGGUAAUACGGAGAGGGCUAGCGUUAUUCGGAAUUAUUGGGCGUAAAGGGCGCGUAGGCUGACUAAUAAGUUAAAAGUGAAAUCCCGAGGCUUAACCUUGGAAUUGCUUUUAAAACUGUUAAUCUAGAGAUUGAAAGAGGAUAGAGGAAUUCCUAGUGUAGAGGUAAAAUUCGUAAAUAUUAGGAGGAACACCAGUGGCGAAGGCGUCUAUCUGGUUCAAAUCUGACGCUGAGGCGCGAAGGCGUGGGGAGCAAACAGGAUUAGAUACCCUGGUAGUCCACGCUGUAAACGAUGAAUGUUAAAUAUGGGAAAUUUAUUUUCUGUAUUACAGCUAACGCGUUAAACAUUCCGCCUGGGGACUACGGUCGCAAGAUUAAAACUCAAAGGAAUUGACGGGGACCCGCACAAGCGGUGGAUGAUGUGGUUUAAUUCGAUGCAACGCGAAAAACCUUACCUACCCUUGACAUGUCAAGAAUUUUGCAGAGAUGUGAAAGUGCUCGAAAGAGAGCUUGAACACAGGUGCUGCAUGGCCGUCGUCAGCUCGUGUCGUGAGAUGUUGGGUUAAGUCCCGCAACGAGCGCAACCCUUGCCACUAGUUGCUACAUUUAGUUGAGCACUCUAGUGGGACUGCCGGUGACAAACCG
rnacentral:rRNA from 1 species